rnacentral:lncRNA from 1 species
UACACCUUGAUAAUAUAAGAUAAUGGGCACAUUAUCCAAAGCUAAAAUCCCAUGCCUACCAAACGACACCUUGGAAAGAUAUCGUGCUUAAGUUUUGUAAUGCAGAUUCAAUAUAACAAGCCAAAAUUGUAUAGUAUACCAAGUUAACAACUCACAAAGACCUUAAAUUGUGAUAAACCGGUUCAAAUUGAUGUCUUGUGCAUGUGUUCAAUAUAUGUGGUCUUUUCUCAAUAUAUAUGUUUAUGUACAUUAUUAUUCACUUACUAAUUUGUUAUCCUAACUGAUUCUGAUUGCCUGUUAUCCUAACCGAUUCUACAUGCCUGCUCAUCUCGCUGGACGAAUGCAUCUUCAAUUUAGCAAAGAUUAUGACACUUAAUGACAACAGGUAUGGUCAAAUAACAUAAGCGCCCUGCACGCCCCUCCCCCUUUAUUGUUAACCUAUUGAUCCUCAUAUUACCUUUUUUCUUGCUAUAUUCUUAUAAAUACUUUCUUCUGUUAUCUAAAGCAACACUUUGAACCAUGUAAACACCUCGAUUCAACAAUAUAAAUAUAUCAGCUAAAUAUUCACUUUAUUUACACAUGACUACAUGAUUGCAACAAUUAUUACGAAUCAUUAACUGAAAAUGUGUUGGAAGCAUGCUGACUGCUUGACAAUUCUCAGAGCCGACUCUAUUGUUUCUUCAUGCAUUUCAGAAAAAGCAGGAGGCUCUGAAGCAGCUGAGGAAGAGCCUAACCUUCACCCUUCAAAGAUAUAUAGAAAUGAGUAGAUGGCCUCCAAUCACUUCCUCAUUUUUAAUGUAUUUCAAAUGUUCUUGGUACUACAGCAAGCUCAUGGUACUUUAAUCCUCAAUUCCUGAAGCACAGGUCUACUACAGCAGGUACAACAAGAUAGGAUAGAAGACAAUACCUUGCAACACUGGCUGUUCCUUUCUCUUUUUUUUGUUUUUUCCCGUUCACAAAUAUGCUUCUCUGUAGUCGUAAUUUUACAGUUAGCUACAAUAAUCUAAUAACAUAGCAAUUCCAUAAUUUGAGCCGAAGUUGUGGUUGAAGCCUGUACUUAUCAUUAUUUUCCAUAUAUACACAACUAAUACAGAAUAUGACACCACAAAAAGUAUUCUUCAAGAGAACUAAAUAGAUAUUUGCACUAACACUUGCUCUUGUCUCAUCCAAAAUUUGACAUUAUCUGAAGGUUACAAAACAGUGAGCUACAACUGAUACAACCCACUGCAACCGAAGAAGAAAUUCAGAAUUCCUAGCCACCAAACUACGAAGACAAAAAUGUCGAGGAGUUGCUUUAUAUAGAUCCAGACAUGUUUCCUGUAAUCACUGUCACCUGCUCCUAUAUUCCACUUCUUUUGUACAUCAACAAUGUGAUAUACUGCAUCUUUUUUUUCUCUUUUGUGAUGCAGCCACAAGGUUAUAGAUGCACUGUCACUAUUCACGCAUUAUACAAGAUAUAUAGCAGAUGGUGGUUCCCAUUUUGCACCACUCAUCAAGAGCAACAACACUUUUGGAGAGAUGUAUCUGUAUAAAUAUAAACCAGCUGUUGGACUAUUUCUGAUCUGUAUAUAUUGAAGCAGCGCCUAGAAACAUAUUGUUACCAGCUCUUGGUGCACACUACUUUAAUACUACUUAAUAUGUAUUAUAGUCUCAGUUCACUCUCCAGCUGACAUAAAUGCUACAAUUCCAUUGACAGCUGCUGCCAAAAAAGCUUGCAUUUGGCCUGAUACUUAUGCACUCAUGUCCUGAAUAACGAUUAUUCUACAUGUGCAAGUGUUCAUGACAUAGCAUCAAGUUUUACAUGCUUAUAAAACAAGAUUUUACACCAUAAUUUCACACGCGCCCAUGGGCGCGCUCCAUACACUAGUGACAUAUACCCGUAGUGAUUUGGAAGAGAGAGAGAGAGAGGUCAGUCAUCCAUGCAGAUUUGGAUAGGAUUUGAGAUGACAGGGUUUUGCAGCACAUCUACG